rnacentral:rRNA from 1 species
UACAGAGGGGGCAAGCGUUGUUCGGAAUUACUGGGCGUAAAGGGCGCGUAGGCGGCCCGCUAAGUCGAACGUGAAAUCCCCGGGCUCAACCCGGGAACUGCGUCCGAUACUGGUGGGCUUGAAUCCGGGAGAGGGAUGCGGAAUUCCAGGUGUAGCGGUGAAAUGCGUAGAUAUCUGGAGGAACACCGGUGGCGAAGGCGGCAUCCUGGACCGGUAUUGACGCUGAGGCGCGAAAGCUAGGGGAGCAAACAGG